GCAGAUAGCCAACUGAAACUUACUGCUUAUCUCAUAAAUUUUACUGUUAAUAAUCUUGGUAUAUCACCGAUCAUAACAAUCUUGGUAUAUCCUUUGUCUUUUCAGAUUCCCAAAUAUGGGAUUUUUGAGAACAUAAAUUCUCUAAAAGAGCUAGCACAAAUGCCUCAAUGGACUGCUGAAAAUCCUCUGCGAGUCACUACUGGAUUCACCUACCUGGGUCCUAAAUUUAUGAAAGAAAAUUGACUAAAGUAUGUGACUUUUUCAACUGCUGAUGGAGCACUGGAGGCAGCUCUUGCGGUUUUCCUGAAGUAGCAUCUUACAAAUGUUGUCUUUGACUCCAAUUUUGCUGAUGAAGGUUAGUUUUCUGUUUUUGUCUUGUCCGUUAUGAACCAAGCCAAUUGUAUUGUUUCUUGUGCUGUGAUUAUUCUAUUAGUGGCAUGUUGUUACAGUUCGUGAACAAGGAAUGAUUGGGGGGACAGGUACCAAUAAUGUAGUCUAAGUAUGAAGCAAUUUAUUGCUUAUAUGAUAUGAGUGAUAAUUCUAACACUAGGCUAGAGCUAAUGAGUUUUAGCUCAAAUGACACAUGCUCCUCCCUCAUUAACGGGAUGGAGGGUAAGAUAGUGAGUUCAAGACUUACGAGAUGUGUAUAGCUUACCAAUGAGGAAAGGUCUUAUCACUUUGCCCCCACCUGGGAUGCCUCAACAAUAAGGGAGAGUGCCUGGAUAACUGUAAACCUAGAAGUCUUUGAUUCAACUCCUAGCUAAGGCAUUUUGUGAUUUACUUGAUGCCUGCUCAGUGGGGGUAUGUAGGCAUCUUGGGUUUACCUCUCAGUGGCGGUCCCAUUGGCCCAUACCAGUGCUUGCAUGUGUGUAUUUAUAGUUAUCUUUGCAUAAUUUCUUGUUAGUUGAUGAUUUAUUUUCUUAGGAAUUUAAAUUCAAAAUGAGGACAAUAAUGUUUGUGACUCAUUGUUUAUAAUAUGAGUUAUGUUUGUAAGGGAAGAUGAUACUGAGGAGCAAAAAAUGGCAAUGAAAGUAUUGCGAUUGGGCAGGGAAAAAA